GACGAACGCUGGCGGCGUGCCUAAUACAUGCAAGUAGAACGAGUUGCGAACGGGUGAGUAACGCGUGGUAACCUGCCUCAUAGCGGGGGAUAACUAUUGGAAACGAUAGCUAAUACCGCAUACCAUCCGAUGUGCCCAGAUGGGAUUUGCUUGUUGGUGGGGUAACGGCUCACCAAGGCGACCAUCCCUAGCUGGUCUGAGAGGAUGACCGGCCACACUGGAACGGGAAAACGGUCCAGACUCCUACGGAGGGCAGCGGUGGGGAUUAUUGCACAAUGGGCGAAAGCCUGAUGCGGCAAGGCCGCGUGUAGGAAGAAGGCCUUCGGGUUGUAAAGUACUUUCAGCGGGGAGGCGUUACCCACAGAAGAAGCAACGGCUAACUCCGUGCCAGCAGCCGCGGUAAUAC
rnacentral:rRNA from 1 species